rnacentral:rRNA from 1 species
UACGUAGGUGGCUAGCGUUGUCCGGAUUUACUGGGCGUAAAGAGCGCGCAGGCGGUCGUUCAAGUCGGGUGUGAAAGCCCCCGGCUCAACUGGGGAGGGUCACUCGAUACUGAUCGACUCGAAGGCAGGAGAGGGAAGCGGAAUUCCCGGUGUAGUGGUGAAAUGCGUAGAUAUCGGGAGGAACACCAGUGGCGAAGGCGGCUUUCUGGCCUGCUCUUGACGCUGAGGCGCGAAAGCGAGGGUAGCAAACGGG